GACGAACGCUGGCGGCGUGCCUAAUACAUGCAAGUAGGACGCAGUUGCGAACGGGUGAGUAACGCGUAGGUGACUACCCAUUAGAGGGGGAUAACUAUUGGAAACGAUAGCUAAUACCGCAUACUAGUAGAUGGACCUGCGUGGUAUUAGCUAGUAGGUAGGGUAAUGGCCUACCUAGGCAACGAUACAUAGCCGACAUGGAAAGGGGAUCGGCCAACAUGGGAAUGAGACACCGCCCAGACUCCUACGGGAGGGCGCAGUAGGGAAUCUUCGGCAAUGGGGGGAAACCUGACCGGGCAACGCCGCGUGAGUGGAGAAGGUUUUCGGAUCGGAAAGCGCUGUUGUUAAGGAAGCGGUACUUAACCAGAAAGGGACGGCUAACUACGUGCCAGCAGCCGCGGUAAUUC
rnacentral:rRNA from 1 species